GGUUGGUGAGCAUCAUGGCAACCGUUUAUUUCACACGGGCUGUGUCUCAGUGUAAAUGCUGAAUAAAUUAUCACUUGAAUAUUUGAAUGAAUGAAUACAUGUGAAUGAAGGAGAGGCCAGGAAACUAGGCCUGGCACCUGCUCAAUUACCUGAAUAAAGAAGUGAUUUUGGCUUGGCGUGGUGGCUCAUGCCUGUAAUCCCAGCACUUUGGGAGACCGAGGUGGGCGGAUCACUUCAGGUUAGGAGUUCUUGGCCAACAUGGCGAAACCCCAUCUCUAUUAAAAAUACAAAAAUUAGCCAGGUGUGGUGAUGCAGGCCUUGUAAUCCCAGCUAGUCAGAAGGCUGAGGCAGGAGAAUCGCUUGAACCUGGGAGGCAGAAGUUGCAGUGAGCCAAGAUCGCGCCACUGCAUUCCAGCCUGGGCGACAAAGCGAGACUCUGUCUCCAAAAAAAAAAAAAAAAGCCACAACCAAAGUCCCGGAGAUCCGUGAUGUGACAAGGAUUG
rnacentral:sRNA from 1 species